rnacentral:SRP_RNA from 1 species
GCCGGGCGUGGUGGCGGGCGCCUGUAGUCCCAGCUACUCGGGAGGCUGAGGCAGGAGAAUCACUUGAACCCGGGAGGCGGAGGUUGCAGUGAGCCAAGAUCGCACCACUGCACUCCAGCCUGGGCAACAGAGUGAGACUCUGCCUCUA